rnacentral:lncRNA from 1 species
UCGGAAGUUAGAGCUACGUCGGGAAUGCUGUUUCAGGGCGGGAUCAUUUUCAGGACUUUCGUCCCGGAUUCAAGUUUUGGCACAUAUGCCAUGUUGACCGCCAUGGUCAUUUUACCCUAAAACAGUUGAGAUUACCUGACAAUAAUAAUACUGUGCUAAAUGAAACGCAUACAUACAGGUCCUAGACUAUAAGUUCUAUUGUUGCCACGCGUGGCUAUUAGCUCACCCAAGAGCCAGCCAUCGUAACUAUCGUGUGCGGCAGACUUAGACUUCGGAUUCUCUAUGCGAUUUUUUAUUAUACCAUACACAUCGAGUAUGAAUGGACAAAAUGUUCUCUGUUGUGCACGGACAAGCGUUAACAAAACUUGUGUUUACUCAUAUUUUCUAAAUCAGUCACCCCAUAUUAAAAAUUUGUUAUGUAAACGGCAUUUGCAUACAGCGAAUAUAUUUACAAUAUUAAUUUUGACUAAAAUAAAUAUCCUAGCUUUUCUUCUUGCUUUUUCCUUUUUUCGUUUUGUCUUUCUUCAGCAAACACAAAGGACAAUACCACUUCUCGGAUUCCGGAGGCGCCGCCAUUAAACCAACACAAGGCCUGAACAGCGAAAUAAAAUGUCGCAUUAAACAAAGGCACAGUAUCGCACGUAGAUCUUCAAAGUAGCGACCCCACCCCUCCCUGCCACAUUCGGUUUUAUCCGUCCAAAAGCUAUUAAAUUAUAUUAUACCUCAAAUUGUCCAAUCAAAAAACAGCAUUUGUACCACGUGACAAUGUGAUUUUUUACGGUAC